AAGUCGUAACAAGGUUUCCGUAGGUGAACCUGCGGAAGGAUCAUUAACACUCCAAAACCCUUUCCUAUCCUUGUCCAUGCUGGCAACAGCGUGGGAGGAUUUGAAAACCCUAUUCACUAGCGAACCCAGAAGUCUCUUUCUCUCGGGAAGGAGUACUUCUACCAACCUUUUGUCCUUUUUUUAACUAUUAAACCCAUUUUUAUAACUAUUGACUUACUGAGACGAGCCUGCUCCUAACGGACGGCAAAGUCUCGUUGCUCUCUCUAAUCAGAGGCAAUGAAAACUCUUAAAAAACUAAAAAACAACUCUUAGCAACGGAUAUCUUGGUUCUC
rnacentral:misc_RNA from 1 species